GACGAACGCUGGCGGCGUGCUUAACACAUGCAAGUCGAACGGAAAGGCCCUGCUUUUGUGGGGUGCUCGAGUGGCGAACGGGUGAGUAACACGUGAGUAACCUGCCCUUGACUUGGGGAUAACUUCAGGAAACUGGGGCUAAUACCCGAUAGGAGCUCCUGCUGCAUGGUGGGGGUUGGAAAGUUUCGGCGGUUGGGGAUGGACUCGCGGCUUAUCAGCUUGUUGGUGGGGUAGUGGCUUACCAAGGCUUUGACGGGUAGCCGGCAUGGGAGGGUGACCGGCCACAUUGGGACUGAGAUACGGCCCAGACUCCUACGGGAGGCAGCAGUGGGGAAUAUUGCACAAUGGGCGGAAGCCUGAUGCAGCAACGCCGCGUGCGGGAUGACGGCCUUCGGGUUGUAAACCGCUUUCGCCUGUGACGAAGCGUGAGUGACGGUAAUGGGUAAAGAAGCACCGGCUAACUACGUG
rnacentral:rRNA from 1 species